UUUUCAAAAGUUAGGAUUAAUAGUUUACAUAGGAUCUUAAAACUUUAUUGAACAUUAAUGGAGUCUUUAAUCAAUAAACUUCCCACAGUCCAUAAUUUUGGAUUUGACCUUCAUGUCGGUCAUUUUAGUCCAGUCAGUGGCAAGCAGUUUUUUAGAAGGAAACUUUUCAUGAUGGGUAUCACGACUGGUGUGCUGCCAUCAAAUAUGGAGGAACCAUGGCAUUUAAACAGUUCUGUGAAAAAAGGUCUGAGCUCGAAUUAUGGCAUGACAAAAUCCUUGGGAAAUAUGUGCAAGUAAUCAGUGAGACACCAAAUUUGUAAAAGACAUAUGAAGCGAAAAAAUUUUGUCUACAAUAUAUUGCUUAAGCUUUUGAUAGCAUGCCUUUUUUGACAGUUUUAGAUGCUGGCAAAGCGAAAUGCGUUUAGAAAAGAACAUGUCAGAAAUGUAAAUGUUAUAUAGUAUUUUACUGAGGUCAGAAACAAUGAAAAAUUUUGCUCGUUUGGAUUGAUAAGUUUUCAUUAAAACAGCUAUAACAGGAGGAUAAAUAAAAUAUUAUUUCGUUUGUAACAUUUAAUGUAAACUGCAGUAAUUUCAAGUAAUAAUAUGUAAUUAAUCACAAUAUUUUGAAGUAACACAUUUAUAUACACUAUCUUGUGAUUUUGCUUUUAUUUCCGCUGGUGUGUGUUUAAAAUACAAAAUGGA